rnacentral:rRNA from 1 species
AUGUAAUGUAAUUCCUACAAAGUUAAUGCACCUUAUCCCAUUAGAAAUCUACAGUUAAGUGCACUUGGGCUAGAGUAGUAUUGGGAUGAUGUCCCAUAAAGUAUUAGUGUUUUACAUG